GACGAACGCUGGCGGCGUGCUUAACACAUGCAAGUCGAACGGAAAGGCCCUGCUUUUGUGGGGUGCUCGAGUGGCGAACGGGUGAGUAACACGUGAGUAACCUGCCCUUGACUUUGGGAUAACUUCAGGAAACUGGGGUUAAUACCGGAUAUGAGCUCCUGCUGCAUGGUGGGGGUUGGAAAGUUUCGGCGGGUGGGGAUGGACUCGCGGCUUAUCAGCUUGUUGGUGGGGUAGUGGCUUACCAAGGCUUUGACGGGUAGCCGGCCUGAGAGGGUGACCGGCCACAUAGGGACUGACAUGCGGCCCAGAAACGUACGGAAAGAAGAAGUGGGGAUUGUUGAAAAAAAAACGGACACCUGAGGCAGCAACCCCGCGUGAGGGAUGACGGCCUUCGGGUAGGGAACCGCUUUCGCCUGUGACGAAGAGUGGGUACCAAUAGGGGAUAAAGAUACACCGGCUAACAACGUG
rnacentral:rRNA from 1 species